UUCCUCCCAUCCCUCACCCCCUCCCAUCCCUACCAUCAUCAUCAUCAUCAUCAUCAUCAUCAUCUGCACACGAGGAUGGAGGACACGCUCACCUGCGGCCACGCGACCGCCUUCUCUCAGGUGUUCGGGCGGCAGGGACAGCUGAUGCAAGCCACCGUCCAGUCUCUCAACAGCCUCAACGACCAGAUCGCUCAGUUCAUGGUGACCCGGCCAUGGACCCUGGACCAGCGGGACCGGGACUUCAUGCCGGGGGACACCUUGACCAAGUCCAUGAGCCUUAUGAGACACCUGCUAAUGGAUGCACAGGGGAAGAUCCUCAACAUGAUGGAGGACAACAAGCAGCUGGCCCAGAGGAUCGACGGGGCCAUCCGCUCGGCCAGCCAGGAAGUCAGCAACCUGCGCUCCGAGCUGACCGCCACCAACUGCAGACUGGCGGGCCUGGGGGGUGCCGGCGGCCCCCCCGCCUUGGAGAACCACCGGCAGCGCAACCACCUCCUGCACCACCACCACCACCACGCCGACAGCCUCCGCUACCGGGAUGCUUCAGUGCAUCACAGACAGAAGACGCUGGUGACGGACAUGUGCUACCCUGCAGAGAUCUCCAGCCUGAUGGACUUCGGCUCCCCCGACUGCUCGUUGGGCAAAGUGUUGUUGCACGAGGAGGUGGCCCAGCUGCAGGAAGAGGUCCAACUGCUGAGGCAAAUGAAGGACAUGCUGGGCAAAGAUCUGCAGGAUCAGUCCCAAGGAGGAGGAGGAGGAGGCACCACCACCGGCCUGCUCUCUGCCGCGGAGCUCCGGGCUCAGCUGGGCGACAAGGAGCAGGAGUUGGACCGCGCCAAGGAGGCCUUACAAGCAAUGAAAGCCGACCGUAAGCGUCUAAAAGGGGAGAAGGGCGACCUGACGAGUCAGAUGCAGCAGCUGUACACAACACUGGAGAGCAGAGAGGACCAGCUCCGAGAAUUCAUACGCAACUACGACCAGCAUCGAAAGGAGAGCGAGGACGCGGUGAAGGUCCUUGCCAGGGAGAAGGACGUGCUGGAGAGGGAGAAGUGGGACCUGAGGAGGCAGACCAAAGAGGCCACGGAGCAGGCCAACAUACUGCGCUCUCAGCUGGACAUGAAGGAGAACCGGAUCAAGGAGCUGGAGGCGGAGCUUACCAUGGCUAAGCAGUCUCUGGCCACGCUGACUAAAGACGUACCGAAGCGCCACUCGUUAGCGUCCACGACUGAGCCCAUGGUGAACGGCAGUCAGGAGUGGGUGAUGCAGGCCGACCUCCCGCUGACCGCCGCCAUCCGGCAGAGCCAGCAAACGCUCUACCACGGACACAACGCGGACAGACAAGCUGUGGUCAAGAUUAGUCCCUGCCACUCGCGCCAGCCGUCCGUCAUCUCGGACGCCUCGGCCGCAGACGGGGACCGCUCGUCUACGCCCAGCGACAUCAACUCUCCUCGCCACCGGACUCACUCGCUCUGCAAUUCCAUGGAGGACUUGGAGGACCAGAAGCGUAAGAAGAAAAAGGAGAAGAUGACUUUAGGCUCCCUGUCACGCGUCUUCGCCCGAGGAAAGCAGCGCAAGUCACUGGACCCGGGCCUGUUUGAUGGUACUGCCACACCCAAUUAUUACAUAGAGGAGGAUGCCGACUGGUGAUGCCGAGUGUGUGAGAGCGUGUGCGCGUGUGUGUGUGCGUGUGUAUUUGAACGUGUGCGUCAUAGCCUAAAAGAGACUGCUUCUCCAUCAAAUGUAUAGUAUAUUAUCCUCAGAUUGUAUGUAUGUAAAUUAUAUAUAUAUUUAUAGAUGUAUGCAUAUGUAUAUACGUUUACAUGCAUAUAAAUAUAUACAUGGGGUUAUUAUCACUCAAUGUGUACACAUGCUGUAUUAUCUUCAACUUGUCUUUUUGUUUUUCUACAACUGGAGACUUGAAGGACUGCUGUUCAUGUAAAAAAUAGGAGUGUCUUUACUGUUAUAAUUUUUUUUUUUUUUUUUUUUACAUUUACCACGCUUUCUAUCCCACACAGCCCAUUUCACACAAUCUCGCUGGCUUUAAGCUGUUUUUUUAUUUUAUUUUGGACACAUUGCCAAUUUGUUGCUUUGUUAAUAUAAAAACCGGUCAUUUAAAUGUCCCUCAGUGAUGUAAAGUCAUAGGAGCUGCUUAAGUGCUGAUUAUGCAGUUAUAACAUAUCACACUGUAGGUUAUUAGCGUGCAAAACAGUAAAAACAAGUGCAUUUAGGCAAUAAAGGUCAUCCUAAUACCGUUUUUCCUCAAAAUGCAAUUAAACACUUAAGUGGUUCCUCUAGGUGCCUGUAAUUACUGUACCUGCUACACUGCAAAAAGUAAGUGUUCAAAAACAAGGUAAAAAAAUACAAAAAUGAGGGGUAUUUUAUUUGAACUAAGCAAAAUUAUCUGCCAAUAGAACAAGAAAAUUUGGCUUGUCAAGACUUUCCAAAACAAGUAAAAUUAGCUAACCUCAAUGAACCCAAAAAUACCGUAUUUCCUUGAAUAGCCACAGGGGCGCUAAUUAAUUUAAAACCUCCUGUCACUCCUGCGCUUACCAGAAGCCUGCGGGAUGGCCAAGCAUGCGCUAAUUAUUGUAAAACCUCUUCUCACUCCGGCGCUUACCUAAUCAGGAAAGCACAUUUAAUAAAAAAAACCUUAUUAUUGUCUUACCUUUAGGUAUAAAUGAGUCCAUGCCAGCUCCUUCUGAAGAAAAGCAUCGAUAUAGAAGUCUUCCUUAUCUUUCUUCAGUUUUAAAAGUCUCUCUGUCUCGAUGGAGAUCUUCCUUUUAAGUAUUACCUCCUGCUUCGAUUGAAAGUCCAGUUUAGAAACUGUUUUAUUUUAGAUAUGUAAUCCUCCAUGGUAAAAGUCCAAGCAAACAAUGGCUGCGCACUCUUGCUGCCGGUUGUCUUAUUCUGCUGCACCGGUGUUCUGCAGUACCAGCAGUCGCAAGAAGGAUCACUAGCGCCCUCUACCACCAGGAGGCGGGAGUCAUUUAAUGACUUAUAUUUGACCCGGCGGAAGUGCCAAGCAUGCGCUAAUUAUUUUGCGAAACGAGUGUGACCCGGCUGUAAUUCGAGGCAUGCGAAUACCAUAUUCCCGGCGCCAAUUCAAGGAAAUACGGUACCUUAAAAUAAGUAUAUUCUCACUAAUAACAAGUGCACUUUUCUUGAUAGAAAAAAAAAAAUAGACCUUUUUGCUCAAUAUGUUGAAAAAUAUUCUUAAAUGAAGUAGAUGCUAGUGCCAUUAUCUUGACAUAAUGAUAUGCGCUCGGCAUUACAUUUCUUGAAACCAGCAAACUUAUACUAAAAACUAAUUUAUUGUUCUUAAUGGAAAGGCAAUAAGGCAACAUCUUGUUACUCUCGGGGUCUCCUAGCCGUCUAAAAAUGCAUUUUUCCAUUGAUAGCAUGACAUCAUCGCGUCAAGUGUGUGCUCUUUCAGUCAAUUAGUGCGCAUAUAUACAGCCCGGCCCCCGGCCAAAAUGUUUUUAAUUGUAAUUUUGAAGAAUUUAUUUGAAUGUGCAUGAACCUUUUCUGUUCAAAAUUAUUAGAAAUGUUAAAUGUGUAAAUAUUAACUGUCAGUUUACUGUACUGUGCCAACUGUACUACUAUAUGAGUACGUAUUUUCUCUUGUUUCAUUGAAAAUAAAACAGCAAAGUCCAUUUGGCCGUCAUCCGUUUUAAUUAUGAGACACAAUUGUGUCAAAAUCGUGAUUUUUUUUUGUUCAUGCUUGAAAUAAGAAAUUUUUACUUUAAAAAAAGUAGUUUUAUACUUGUGAGUGUUGAUGACACAACAGUUGAUAUUCUAGU